rnacentral:misc_RNA from 1 species
UUUUUUCUGCGAAUGAACUCAAUGGCUAUGGCCACUCACUUGUACACCUCUUAUUCUCCAAUCACCACCAAGACCAUCUCCUCUAACAAUAACAGCGACAAGGUUCUUUCUCUUCCUUUACAGCCAAGGCAUGCUAUAUCGAUAGCCUCACCAUCUCUUUCUCUGAGAACAACGACCAGAUUUUCCAUAUCAGCAGCUGCAGGAACCACUGCUGUGCAAGUCGAUGGACCUACCACUUCUAAUAAAGGACCAAAGUCUUUGCCUUUUAGAG